rnacentral:rRNA from 1 species
GACGAACGCUGGCGGCGUGCCUAACACAUGCAAGUCGAGCGGAGCGGCGGACGGGUGAGUAAUGCCUAGGAAUCUGCCUGGUCGUGGGGGCUAACGUCCGGAAACGGGCGCUAAUACCGCAUCCUAUCAGAUGAGCCUAGGUCGUAUUAGCUAGUUGGUGGGGUAAAGGCCUACCAGGGCGACGAUCCGUAACUGGUCUGAGAGGAUGAUCAGUCACACUGGAACGGAGACACGGUCCAGACUCCUACGGGAGGCAGCAGUGGGGAAUAUUGGACAAUGGGCGAAAGCCUGAUCCAGCCAGGCCGCGUGUGUGAAGAAGGUCUUCGGAUUGUAAAGCACUGUAAGUUGGGAGGCGGUACCAACAGAAUAAGCACCGGCUAACUUCGUGCCAGCAGCCGCGGUAAUAC